rnacentral:rRNA from 1 species
UACGGAGGGGACUAGCGUUGUUCGGAUUUACUGGGCGUAAAGGGUGCGUAGGCGGCCUAGUAAGUUAGAAGUGAAAGCCUGGGGCUCAACCCCAGAACUGCUUCUAAAACUAUUAGGCUAGAGUAUGGGAGAGGAUAGUGGAAUUCCUAGUGUAGAGGUGAAAUUCUUAGAUAUUAGGAGGAACACCGGUGGCGAAGCGACUUCUGACCAAUACUGACGCUGAGGUGCGAAAGCGUGGGGAGCAAACAGGAUUAGAUACCCCGUAGUCC